UGGGGUUGUGGCUCAGCGAUAGAGUGCUCUUCUAGUGCAUGUGAGGCCCUGGGUUCAAGCCUCAGCACCACAA
rnacentral:tRNA from 1 species